UCUCUCCAAGGUCUCGGUGCUGUACUGAUGCAAGAGAAGAAAGUUGUUGCUUGUACUUCUCGCCAGUUAAAACCUAAUGAGAAGAACUACCCCACUCAUGAUCUCGAGUUGGCGGCAGUUGUGCACGCUUUGUUGACUUGGAGACAUCUUCUAUUGGGAAGGAAAGUGGAUAUUUUCACUGAUCACAAGAGUCUCAAGUACAUCUUCACUCAGCCUAACCUCAACCUCAGGCAGACUCGAUGGGUCGAAAUGAUUCAAGAGUACAAUCCGAGUAUCGAGUAUACUCCAGGCAAGGCUAAUGUGAUUGCUGACGCUUUGAGCAGAAAAGCAUAUUGCAACAGUCUGAUUCUCAAGCCUUAUCAACCCGAGCUUUGUGAAGCUUUCCGCAAACUUAAUCUGCAAGUUGUUCCUCAAGGUUUCCUC
rnacentral:rRNA from 1 species